UCUCUCUCUCUGGUACUGUCUUUCAUUUCUUCUUGCGCCGCUGAUUCUUUCUCCUUCUCUUCGGAAAUCCGCCUGAUUCCUUUCCAUCUUCUCACCAACGGAAAUGCUGACUUUCCUUCACCAAUACAAUGGUGAUAGGAAAGUCACCUUGGCUUACCUUCUAGGGCUCUUCUCUAGUCCCUAUUUAAAGGGGUAUCUCCUCCCUUUGUGUGACACCCCGGCGAAAAACAGUGAAAUACCUCCUUGUGUUAUACUCUUUGUGAAAUUGCUGAGAAACAGUCUUUGUGACCGACGUGAGAUAACAAACCGAGUGUUUUGGAGUGUGGUCGUGAUCUCUGGUUAAGUGGUGUUGCCGUGGGUCGGCGACGUGCGGGAACGGUACUCAUAGUGACCGAUUUUCCCUUUACUUGGUUCUGGCAGCAGGUUGAGAUUAUUCUCCGGCCUAGAUGCUUUUUUGCAAACUUAACAAGGUUGCAGAUUUCGUUUUCGUCGAUGAUUCCAUUGUGGUUCUUGUCGGCCAGCUUUAGGCCGUGCUUGGCCUUCCACGUGGUGAACCACUGCCCGUUGGCUCGGAUAGCCGCUCGGAGCUCUUCCACUGAAAUCUUCCCAUCUUUAUCGGAGUCGAAUUGCAUCAACCAUUUGAUGAAUUCUUGGACAGACAUUUCUACUUUAUCGCUUGGUGCACGGGAAGCGAACAUAGCCAUCUCUUAUUAAGUGUGUGAUUGUUGUUUGCUUUGUUGUGAGGAGGAGUACUAUGGAGGGCGAUCAAUUUAUAGUGGCUCGUAGUUCGUUGUCAAUCUUCACUUUCUAGUGGAAUCAGUCUUAUGUGGGGUCUCUCAGAAUUUUCUUGUUUUAUCGAGUUUUUAUGUUGUAAAUUA